UUGAUCAAUUUUUGAGGCACAGACAAGAAGCUGUGAAACAAUUAAAUGGUUAUACAUAAAGUCUUUGUAUCACAAAACAGAAAAAAAAUAGAAAUGUAAUUGGUUAAUUCACAACAGAUAAAAUGUCAUCAUUUUUGUACAGUAGAUUAAUAAUUGUACAUGUUUUAAUUUCAUACUUGAUUAAGUGAAUUUAUAUUAAAUAUAGACAUACAGUAGCAUUCUAUACCAGGUACCUUUAAAUAAAAAUUGCAAAUUUUACGAAAUAAAGAUAGUUGAAAUAUAAUAAAGACAGUUGGAACAUUAAUGAUGAUCAUUUAGGGUUUUAGCUGAUGCUUCGGGUUCUAUUUCUUCAAAUGCUUAUAUGUUUUAAGUUUUUAACUUCCCUUUAUUUAUGUUUUGUCUUUUAUUUACCUAAACGUGAUGUGGCAUGGAAGAUUAAGUAUAUAUCACAUAUAUUGCAUUUGCCAAUAUAGUUAUUACCCACAAAUUUUUAUAACGGAAUGUACAAAAAAUAGUUUAAUUGUUAUGUUCUUAAAACUUUUGAGAAGCUCAAAAAUGGUAUUUGUUUCGCCUGGCAGAGAUAAACAAACUAUAUGAAAUUACCAUAGUACACAGUAUUUUCAGAUGUAUUUAUCAAUUAUAACUGCAAUUUGGUUGGAUAAUGAAUUGAUAAAGUUGAUAUUCCGAAACUUGUCAUCUGUUUUACCUUUGCAGUAUAAUUUUUUUUUAACAUACUUCAUAUCUUUGACCUGUUAUUUUCAUAUAUAUUUGGAAUGAAUGAGUAUUGAUAGAACAUUAUUUGUAUGUCGAAUUUUAUUUAACAUCAUAUUUUAUUUGCUUGUAUGUUUAUUUUUGUUGUGAUUGAAUAUUGAAUUAUGUGAUUUAAAUUAUUUACUUUUUUAUAUUUUUUCGUUUUAAUCAAUAAUAUUUUGUGUUUGAUUAUAUGUGUAUUGGUUGAAGAUUGAUAUAUGUGUGUUACACAUGCCAAUUUAUAUAAUGAUCAUAUACAUUUGUAUUUUUUUUAAUAUAAGAGCUUUAUAAAAUCCCAUUUAUUUAAAAAAAUUUGGGUAAUGUUGAAGGAUACGUCAAUAUUGCUACCAAUCAAAAGGGCAGAAAAAUACGAUUGAAAAAAAUUGAAAAUAAAUACAAGUGUCAAAAUUCGGGCGCAAGUACGGAGUUUAUCAGUGUUUACGGUUGUAUUUUAAUGCAAGUCAUUUACACCAACAUACCUACAUGUCCUAAACUUUUUUCAUAUCAAUGUGCAAGUCAUGUUUUAGUUCACUUUAACGUUAUGUUGAUCCCGAUCGAAGUUUGAUAAUUAUACUUCCGCUGCUACUAAUGAGUUCGCUUCCGAUUUGUUUCAAUGCUGUUAAGAUUUGCCUUUUUGUUUUGAAAGUCAUGUCACUAUUGUCUAACUUUGUUAAUCAAGUUAUAGAUAAAUACUAAAGCUGAUCUGAAUUUCAGUUAUUUCAGAUCAUUUUAUAUGUUUUGUUAAAUAUCAGAUAUAAAAACAAUAAAAUUAUGUGAGAA
rnacentral:lncRNA from 1 species